rnacentral:rRNA from 1 species
GACGAACGCUGGCGGCGCGCUUAACACAUGCAAGUCGAGCGAGAACCAGGGCUUCGGCCCUGGGGAAAGCGGCGAACGGGUGAGUAACACGUGAGUAACCUGUCCUCGGCACCGGGAUAGCCCGGGGAAACCCGGAUUAAUACCGGAUGGCCUUUCGAGUCCUCGGACUCGUCAGAAAAGGGAGCUUCGGCCUCCGGCCGAGGAGGGACUCGCGGCGGAUUAGCUUGUUGGUGAGGUAACGGCUCACCAAGGCGACGAUCCGUAGCUGGUCUGAGAGGACGAUCAGCCACACUGGGACUGAGACACGGCCCAGACUCCUACGGGAGGCAGCAGUGGGGAAUCUUGCGCAAUGGGCGAAAGCCUGACGCAGCGACGCCGCGUGCGGGAAGAAGGCCUCGGUUGUAA